UACGGGGGGAGCAAGCGUUGUUCGGAUUUACUGGGCGUAAAGAGCUCGUAGGCGGUUCGUCGCGUCGGCUGUGAAAUCCCGGGGCUCAACCCCGGGCGUGCAGUGGAUACGGGCUGGCUGGAGGCAGGCAGGGGAGAACGGAAUUCCCGGUGGUAGCGGUGAAAUGCGCAGAUAUCGGGAGGAACACCGGUGGCGAAGGCGGUUCUCUGGGCCUGUACUGACGCUGAGGAGCGAAAGCGUGGGGAGCGAACAGG
rnacentral:rRNA from 1 species